AGCCAAACCAAGUAAACCUAAAGCGAUGGAGCCCCUCACGCCAGCAGCCUACAGAGGCCCCGUCCCCAUACCGCCACAAAGGCCGACAAAGACCGCUAACAGCUUUCCUAGUGGAGACAAUCAAGCUAAAAGUAUCAAAGCUCUAGUGUCCAACCUCAAUAAUACAGCAGCAAAUCAUAAUUCUACAGAUUAUGCAUAUGUGGACAGUUUAAAGAACACUGUUAAAGUGGAAGAGGAAUCAACAGAAUCGCAUUGUUGCCUCCAGGGAACCGCCUCCUAUCCCGACUCUACCUCCCCGUAAAGCAUCCUUCCCUCCAUCCAACCCUCUUCCUCCUGCACCCAUCCCAAAGGAGUCCUCUGCAGCCCUACAGGCCAGAGGCAGCUCCGUUAUACCCAACACCAAGUCAGAGUUCAAGUCUGAGUUUGGCUACUCAGACAGGCCAACCUCUUGGUGUGAGAGUCCGUCUACCAACAGCAUGAGACAGGCCAUGUUCUCUAGCGAGGCAGGCGAGAGAGAAAACCUCAUCAAACUUCGCCUGGGGAAAAAAGA